GGCAUUUGAUGGAAAAGAGUUUGUUCAGGUCACUUACCCAAAAUUUAAAAUGGGAGAGGAAGUUGUGUGAGAGGUGGCAUGCCCACCUACCUAUGGUUAUGUUGAUGGUUUGAAGAAACUACUCUUCAAUUUUCCAAAAGAAAAGAGGGAGGAAAUAAUUAAGAAGUAUGCAUCAAGAACACCUGAGCCCCUCAAUCGGCAGUUUUCAAAAAGAUUGAGCAAGGAGGAAGCUAUAAAGGCAUAUAACGCAAAAAAGGCAAUGAAGAAAACAGCAUUAUUUCCACCUGAAUCAGAACAAACUUCACAACAAGCUGAUGGCAACAGUCAACCAAGCAGUAGUCAAUCCACUUCUAGACGCACCCGCAAAAGCAAGAGGCCAUCUCAUUGUCACAAGAAGAAAAGUGGCAAAUAAAGUGACUCACAGUUUGUUAUCCA